rnacentral:misc_RNA from 1 species
AACAAGGCGUACCUGCGGACCUGCGGAAGGAUCAUUACCAAUUCAACGGUGUGGUCGCGGCCUCCGGGGGCUCCCCCCGGGCGGUAGAGGUAACACUCUUACGCGCCACAUGUCUGAAUCCUUUUUUUACGAGCACCUUUCGUUCUCCUUCGGUGGGGCAACCUGCCGUUGGAACUUAUUAAAACCUUUUUUUGCAUCUAGCAUUACCUGUUCAGAUACAAACAAUCGUUACAACUUUCA